rnacentral:rRNA from 1 species
UUCUGUGACCUACCUAUCGUUGCUUCGGCGGACUCGCCCCAGCCCGGACGCGGACUGGACCAGCGGCCCGCCGGGGACCUCAAACUCUUGUAUUCCAGCAUCUUCUGAAUACGCCGCAAGGCAAAACAAAUGAAUCAAAACUUUCAACAACGGAUCUCUUGGCUCUGGCAUCGAUGAAGAACGCAGCGAAACGCGAUAAGUAAUGUGAAUUGCAGAAUCCAGUGAAUCAUCGAAUCUUUGAACGCACAUUGCGCCCGCCAGCAUUCUGGCGGGCAUGCCUGUUCGAGCGUCAUUUCAACCCUCGACCUCCCCUUGGGGAGGUCGGCGUUGGGGACCGGCAGCACACCGCCGGCCCUGAAAUGGAGUGGCGGCCCGUCCGCGGCGACCUCUGCGCAGUAAUACAGCUCGCACCGGAACCCCGACGCGGCCACGCCGUAAAACACCCAACUUCUGAACGUUGACCUCGAAUCAGGUAGGACUACCCGCUGAACUUAAGCAUAUCAAUAAGCGGAGGUAACUUAA